UACGUAGGGGGCGAGCGUUGUCCGGAUUUAUUGGGCGUAAAGAGCGUGUAGGCGGUUCGGUAAGUCUGUCGUGAAAUCCUGAGGCUUAACCUCGGGCGUGCGAUGGAUACUGCCGGGCUAGAGGGUGGUAGAGGCGAGUGGAAUUCCCGGUGUAGCGGUGAAAUGCGCAGAUAUCGGGAGGAACACCAGUAGCGAAGGCGGUUCUCUGGAACGCAACUGACGCUGAGACGCGAAAGCGUGGGGAGCAAACAGG
rnacentral:rRNA from 1 species